UGAAGUUUUAGUAGGUGCUCAUAACCAAGCUCUGGAAUCCAUCCUGACAGUUGAAAAUUCAAGUAGAACAUCGAAGGACCCAGUACCUGAAAAUGAAUCCAAUAAAGAUCCCACUUCAAAUUCAGAAAUGAUCCAUACUCAGCAUGACUCAGAGCAUAAUAUCUCCCUAGAGAUAACAGAAAAACAAGGAAGAUUAACUCAAGAUGAAGAAAGAGAAAAAGGAAGCAUUGGAAAAGAAGUUUACAUGUCAUAUUUGACGAUUGUGAGAGGCGGGGCUCUAGUUCCAAUCAUAAUCUUGGCACAGUCAAUGUUCCAAGUAUUACAGGUAGCUAGCAACUACUGGAUGGCAUGGGCUUCUC
rnacentral:lncRNA from 1 species